CGUUGUCCCAGUCCCGCCCCGGGAGGGAGCACCCAGCCCCCCUGCUGCGCGGCGCUGGCAUUUUUGUGACCACGUAGAAGCCUGCGGCGUGUCCCUCUCCGCCCCCUGCCCUCCCUUCUCCGCCCUCCCCGGCACAGGAUCGACGUGUCAGCCCUGAAAGUUCAUGUUCGGGUCCCGGGCGAGUUCCCCGCAACGCGGCGGUCCCGGGCAGCGAGACGUGGCGCCGUGGGCAGGGGCGCCGGCACCUUCCUCAGCUACUUUCUGAAUUGAUACUUUCAAAAUGAAGAGGAAGAUAGGAGUGAGAACGAAGAAUGCCUUGGAGAAAUCCAGUCACAAAGUUUGAGAAGUAGAAACAUUAGGAAAUAUUAAUAACUCUGGCCUCUUAAAUAGGUCAGCAUUUGGACUGAAAUUAUGAAAAGCCACAAACCUAAGACAUGAAGCCUGUUACAUUUGAAUCUAGAUUCACAGAUUUUUAAAUUAAUACAUAAUAAAAAUAUUUGCAUUUUUUUUCCACUA